AGAAGCAGUAAAUGCCAAAUGGAAAGCAUAAGGAAACGUGUGUUUUCAACUCUAGGACAUAAGAGCUCAUUCAGUACUGGUCAACAAAGUUAAUUUGAUCUGAGAGCAUGAAGACAGCAUCCCUGAAUUCAGCAGUGAGCAUCCAUGCUGGAAUGCAGAAUUGGCCACGUAAUAACAUUUUCUAUUUACAGCGUUAAUAUGGGAUAGAUUGGGUGGCUUCAAACAGGCAGCUGCUCUGUGGUGGUGUGGGGGCUUUAUACUGUAAAAAAUGCAUGCUGCUCAAAGAUCUCUCUCUUUUUUAUUUAUGUGUUUAUGAAGUACACUGGCUGGCCUUCAGAACGCUCACUUUCCAAGAUGUAAAGUUCCAUUCGGUUUUACGUUUGUUAACUGUGGUUUUCUGUCUGUCUCUGUAAAGCCCUGGCAAGAAUAGAACUUGUUUUCUGCUGGGUCCUUGCACUGCUGGCUGUCACAUGGGCUUUUCAGGCUGAGAUUUUUGGAGUGAUUGUUGUAGCCAGACACCUAACGGCAUUUAGCAGGAGUCAAUUCCUGAACUCUUCCGAAAAUCUCAGCCUUUCCAAUUCAGUCAAGAUUUGGGUUCCUUCACGGGCCAGAUGAAAUUACUCUACAGAAUAACUGUGCAUAACAAUGGAUAAAGGGCAAGUCUACACACAUUUUGUGCACUAUUGCUCUUCUGGCUGCAGUGACUUGGGAUCGGUGGAAAGAAUUUGGGCAGCCAGUUGGAAAACUCAAUCUUGCAUAUUUUUCUAAAAAUAAAUAAUUGCUCUUUAAAAGAAAAAGAAGAAAACUACGAAAAUAAUCCUUUUAUUCAAGCAAGCUAUACGUUCCAUAUAGCCCAUAUUCCACAUGUACACUGAUUUAAAAUUGUAUCUGUGUAAUCCUCCUCUCAUAAAUAUGUUAAUCGAACAUAUAUUUGUACUGGGAAAAUGAAUGACUAAAAAAACAAUGCUUC
ensembl:lncRNA